UUUCAGAAGGUCUAUCCUGUCUUGGUGACACUUUUGAAGAGGUAGGCGAAGAACUGUCAAAAACACUCGGUUUUUGUGUGCUAUAUAUGGCUACGAGAAUAAUAACAUCAAUGAAUUAAAAUUCAAAAUGUUUUGCAAUGCAAAAAAACAUUCAUUGUCAUCUACUGCCCCCAACAAAAGAUGCAAUGUUAAAGCACAUCAAACGAGCCAACUUUCAGGCAACGAUUUGGAAAUCUGCUCUUCAAC
rnacentral:lncRNA from 1 species